rnacentral:rRNA from 1 species
CCAGACCGCCAGCUAAGGUCCCAAAGUCAUGGUUAAGUGGGAAACGAUGUGGGAAGGCCCAGACAGCCAGGAUGUUGGCUUAGAAGCAGCCAUCAUUUAAAGAAAGCGUAAUAGCUCACUGGUCGAGUCGGCCUGCGCGGAAGAUGUAACGGGGCUAAACCAUGCACCGAAGCUGCGGCAGCGACACUAUGUGUUGUUGGGUAGGGGAGCGUUCUGUAAGCCUGUGAAGGUGGCCUGUGAGGGUUGCUGGAGGUAUCAGAAGUGCGAAUGCUGACAUAAGUAACGAUAAAGCGGGUGAAAAGCCCGCUCGCCGGAAGACCAAGGGUUCCUGUCCAACGUUAAUCGGGGCAGGGUGAGUCGACCCCUAAGGCGAGGCCGAAAGGCGUAGUCGAUGGGAAACAGGUUAAUAUUCCUGUACUUGGUGUUACUGCGAAGGGGGGACGGAGAAGGCUAUGUUGGCCGGGCGACGGUUGUCCCGGUUUAAGCGUGUAGGCUGGUUUUCCAGGCAAAUCCGGAAAACCAAGGCUGAGGCGUGAUGACGAGGCACUACGGUGCUGAAGCGACAAAUGCCCUGCUUCCAGGAAAAGCCUCUAAGCAUCAGGUAACAUCAAAUCGUACCCCAAACCGACACAGGUGGUCAGGUAGAGAAUACCAAGGCGCUUGAGAGAACUCGGGUGAAGGAACUAGGCAAAAUGGUGCCGUAACUUCGGGAGAAGGCACGCUGAUAUGUAGGUGAAGCGACUUGCUCGUGGAGCUGAAAUCAGUCGAAGAUACCAGCUGGCUGCAACUGUUUAUUAAAAACACAGCACUGUGCAAACACGAAAGUGGACGUAUACGGUGUGACGCCUGCCCGGUGCCGGAAGGUUAAUUGAUGGGGUUAGCGGCAACGCGAAGCUCUUGAUCGAAGCCCCGGUAAACGGCGGCCGUAACUAUAACGGUCCUAAGGUAGCGAAAUUCCUUGUCGGGUAAGUUCCGACCUGCACGAAUGGCGUAAUGAUGGCCAGGCUGUCUCCACCCGAGACUCAGUGAAAUUGAACUCGCUGUGAAGAUGCAGUGUACCCGCGGCAAGACGGAAAGACCCCGUGAACCUUUACUAUAGCUUGACACUGAACAUUGAGCCUUGAUGUGUAGGAUAGGUGGGAGGCUUUGAAGUGUGGACGCCAGUCUGCAUGGAGCCGACCUUGAAAUACCACCCUUUAAUGUUUGAUGUUCUAACGUUGGCCCGUAAUCCGGGUUGCGGACAGUGUCUGGUGGGUAGUUUGACUGGGGCGGUCUCCUCCUAAAGAGUAACGGAGGAGCACGAAGGUUGGCUAAUCCUGGUCGGACAUCAGGAGGUUAGUGCAAUGGCAUAAGCCAGCUUGACUGCGAGCGUGACGGCGCGAGCAGGUGCGAAAGCAGGUCAUAGUGAUCCGGUGGUUCUGAAUGGAAGGGCCAUCGCUCAACGGAUAAAAGGUACUCCGGGGAUAACAGGCUGAUACCGCCCAAGAGUUCAUAUCGACGGCGGUGUUUGGCACCUCGAUGUCGGCUCAUCACAUCCUGGGGCUGAAGUAGGUCCCAAGGGUAUGGCUGUUCGCCAUUUAAAGUGGUACGCGAGCUGGGUUUAGAACGUCGUGAGACAGUUCGGUCCCUAUCUGCCGUGGGCGCUGGAGAACUGAGGGGGGCUGCUCCUAGUACGAGAGGACCGGAGUGGACGCAUCACUGGUGUUCGGGUUGUCAUGCCAAUGGCACUGCCCGGUAGCUAAAUGCGGAAGAGAUAAGUGCUGAAAGCAUCUAAGCACGAAACUUGC